rnacentral:rRNA from 1 species
CACGUAGGGGGCGAGCGUUGUCCGGAGUUACUGGGCGUAAAGGGCAUGCAGGCGGUCGGACGCGUUUCGGGCGACAGCGGGUGGCUUAACUACCCGAGUGGUCGAAAGACGGUUUGACUUGAGGACGCGAGAGGGACACGGAAUUCCGGGUGGAGUGGUGAAAUGCGUAGAGAUCCGGAGGAACACCGAAGGCGAAGGCAGUGUCCUGGCGCGUAACUGACGCUGAGGUGCGAAAGCCAGGGGAGCGAACGGG